AAAUGAAUAGACGGGGGCCCGCACAAGCGGUGGAGCAUGUGGUUUAAUUCGAUGCUACGCGAAAAACCUUACCCAGGUUUGACAUCCCGGGCUAUCCUGUGAAAGCAGGAGUUCUCUUCGGAGACCCGGUGACAGGUGCUGCAUGGCUGUCGUCAGCUCGUGUUGUGAGAUGUUGGGUUAAGUCCCGCAACGAGCGCAACCCGUAUCGCUAGUUACCAUCAUUAAGUUGGGCACUCUAGCGAGACCGCUUGGCUAUAAGCCAGAGGAAGGUGCGGAUGACGUCAAGUCCUCAUGGCCUUUAUACCUGGGGCUACACACGUGCUACAAUGGGAGGCACAAUGCGCAGCAAGCCAGCAAUGGCAAGCCAAUCGCAAAAAUCCUCUCUCAGUUCGGAUUGAAGUCUGCAACUCGACUUCAUGAAGCUGGAAUCGCUAGUAAUCGCGGAUCAGCACGCCGCGGUGAAUACGUUCCCGGGCCUUGUACACACCGCCCGU
rnacentral:rRNA from 1 species